CCCUCCCCUAAAUCACUCCAAAAAAACAAUCCCCAAUUCUACACAAGUGUUUCUACACUAACAAAGCAACAGCUCCUUAACGAAUUCCCAACUUUACACGAGCUCGUCUCUCGAGGUUAAAUGUUAUUACUUGGUAAGAUUCCGGACCUCGCCAAGUGUUUUGAAAACCCGCAACGCUCGCAAAGGUGCAUAGUGAGAAUAAUAAGUGAAGAGACAGACUUGUCCAAAACGCCCACCACGAAGGUGCAUAGUGAGAAGAGUAAGUCAAGAGAUAGACUUGUCCAAAAAGAAACGGAAGAGAAAGCUUGGGGAGACGCUCACGAAGGUGCAUAGUGAGAAGAGUAAGUCAAGAGAUAGACUUGUUCAAAAAGAAACAGAAGAGAAUGCUUGGGGUUACACUCACGAAGGUGCAUAGUGAGAAGAGUAAGUCAAGAGAUAGACUUGUUCAAAAAGAAACAAAAGAGAAUGCUUGGGGUUACACUCACGAAGGUGCAUAGUGAGAAGAGUAAGUCAAGAGACAGACUUGUUCAAAAAGAAACAAAAGAGAAUGCUUGGGGAGAUAGAAGUGUGAGAUAGUUCUCAAGCUAAGAAAGUUGUAAAAGCUAAGAACUAGCAAGUAAUCGUCCAGGAUUCCUCCACCAGGACUUGAAAUCGUCGAGGGAAAAAAUCGGUUCCGAGGAAUCGUCGAUCCGGACUUGGAAUCGUCGAGAAAAGUUUACCGGGUCCGAGGAUUUGUCGAC
rnacentral:misc_RNA from 1 species